rnacentral:miRNA from 1 species
AAAGGUGUUAAAUGAAGACUUAG